AUGGAAACCGGGAUAUUCCAUCCAAACCGGGAUAACUCCUCCCGGUGCCCAUGGAAACCGGGAUAACUCCUCCCGGUGAGUCUGGAAACCGGGAUACCCCACCCAAACCGGGAUAACUCCUCCCGGUGUCCAUGGAAACCGGAAUACUCCACCCAAACCGGGAUAACUCCUCCUGGUGCCCAUGGAAACCGGGAUACCCCACCCAAACCGGGAUAACUCCUCCUGGUGCCCAUGGAAACCGGGAUACCCCACCCAAACCGGGAUAACUCCUCCCCCGCCGCGCUACCGGGACUUUCCAGCCUCCCCUCGCUCGCUCCUCCCCCGCUGUCCCCCCGCGGCUCCCGGACCGACGGUGGCGGCUCCGCGCGGGGGACCCGGGGGGACGCAGCACCGGGGAGCGGGAGGACACGGGGGGACACAGGACAGGGCACCGGGGGCACCCGGGGGCACGCAGCACAGGGCACCGGAGCGGAGCGCGGCGCUGGCGGCUCCCGGGCCCGGGCCAGCCCCGCGGGCGAGCGGCGGCGAGAGGCUCCCGACGGCCACGGCCGCGCGCAGCAGCGAGCGGGCAGCUCCCGGUGCCCCCGGGCAUCCCGGAACGCCGGGCAGAGCCGGGCACCGCCGCCCUCCCGCUCCGCCUGGUCCUUCCCGUGCCCCCGGAGCCCCGGUCAGAGCCGGGCACCGCCGCCCUCCUCCUCCGCCCGGCUCUCCUGCUCCUCCCGUGCCCCUUCCUCGUUGAGAUGCGCCUUCCCGGGCACCGCGUCCGCCGAGGGCCCUGCCCGGGGCUGCGGGGACGCUCCGGCAGUGCCCCCGUUGGCACCGAGCCCUUCGGACUUGCCGAAAUUAAACAGCUUGCCGGGGUUGAAGGGCUUGGUGGGCGACUGCACCUUCUCGGUGCCCGCGUCCCGCUUAGUCUCGGGGGAUUUGAGGAAUUUGAAGCUCAGGAAUCCCGGCAGUUUGUUCUCGCUGCCCGUCGGUGACUGCGGCGAGCGGGCGGUGGCGGUGCCACCCGCGGCGGUGCCACCGGACAGGAAUUUGCCCUGCAGGGGGAUGAUCUGCUUGAGCUUCAUCACGUUGUUGGUGGCCAGCAGCGAGCUGGGCCUCUUGGGCUUGUCGGGGCCGUGCGAGGAGGAGCCGCCGGAGCUUUUCCCUUUUCCUGGGUUUUUGUCGUGCGCCGGGUCCUGCCCGGUGGCCUCGGGCUUGGUGGGCUCGUCCCGGCUGGAUUCGCGCUCCUUGCGCGCCUGGAAUUCCGCGUGGCGCUGCCGCUCCUCCUCCUCGCGCUUGCGGCGCUGCUGCUGCUGGAAGUGGUGCUGGGCCUGCCGCUCGUGCUUCUGGGGGUGGCAAGGGGACAUCGAGGGGACACCGGGCACGGGGAUGGUGAGGGGACAUCGAGGGGACACGGGGCACGGUGGUGGCACGGGGAUGGUGAGGGGACAUCGAGGGGACAUCAAGGGGACACCGGGCACGGGGGUGGCACGGGGAUGGCAAGGGGACAUCGAGGGGACACCGGGCAUGGGGGUGGUACGGGGAUGGUGA
rnacentral:lncRNA from 1 species